GUCCAGGGUAGCCUAGUGGUCAUGGCAUCUGCCCGCUAAGCGGAAGGUCGUGGGUUCGAUUUGACACUUUUUUUAUUUUAUCCAUUCUGACU